AAGGGCUGUUGUUUUUGCCUGUCAUGGAGUUCCGUUCAUUCUGAACAUGUCACCGGGGACUUUGGAAUGUGUAUCCAUAACUCCCUGAUUUUCAACCACAUUCCAGCCUGCCUGACUCAUGAAGCGUGGAGCGACCCAGGAACAUCCCAGCUCCUCAUGUCCCACAUUCUUCAGGCUUUCUCUUAGUUUUGGCAUGUGCAUGUAAAUGUCAACAGGUGCCCAGAUCAGCGCCUGAUAUAUACUUGGCACACAAUAACCACUCUUGAAAUUCAUGAAGGGAUCAAUAAAGGCAAAAACCAGGAGAUCCCAUAAAUCCCGCUGAGCCUGUCAUAGCUAUCAAAUUAUACCCAGAUAAAGCUUCUGGUGGCUAAUGACAUGGCCAUCACCCAGCGUGGACGUGGGCAGGAGGGGCUCUCCGGGAGCAUCUGGUCUGCUGUGGAGACACUUGUCAUCUGGAGGCUCUGUGGCUCUAAUGGAGGGUGAUGCUUUGAACGCGACUAUCUCCCCCAUAAAAAAAUAAAUAAAUAAUAAGUAUAAUUUAAAAAUAAACAAAGAUCUGGAUUUGCAGGCUA
rnacentral:lncRNA from 1 species